rnacentral:rRNA from 1 species
CUACGGGUCGCAGCAGUGGGGAAUAUUGCACAAUGGGCGAAAGCCUGAUGCAGCAACGCCGCGUGAGGGACGACGGCCUUCGGGUUGUAAACCUCUUUUAGCAGGGAAGAAGCGAAAGUGACGGUGCCUGCAGAAAAAGCACCGGCUAACUACGUGCCGGCAGCCGCGGUAAUACGUAGGGUGCAAGCGUUGUCCGGAAUUAUUGGGCGUAAAGAGCUCGUAGGCGGGUUGUCGCGUCUGCUGUGAAAAUCCGAGGCUCAACCUCGGACCUGCAGUGGGUACGGGCAAACUAGAGUGCGGUAGGGGAGAUUGGAAUUCCUGGUGUAGCGGUGGAAUGCGCAGAUAUCAGGAGGAACACCAAUGGCGAAGGCAGAUCUCUGGGCCGUAACUGACGCUGAGGAGCGAAAGCGUGGGGAGCGAACAGGAUUAGAUACCCGCGUAGUC